UACUGGCUACCGAACGAAGUCAAACACAUCAAAGACGGAGGGAUAUGUUCCCAAAGGGCACCGGGAAGCAGCGAAGGGUCUCUCGGGAGCGACGCGGCCUCCGGGCGGAAAACGAUGCUCCAGAAGAGAGGCAGCAAGGAGGAAGGUAGAGUUCACCUACUUGUGAUGUCACUGAGCGUCCCUACCAAUGGGAACACAGGAGAGCUCUGCAAGCUUCUGCUCUUGAAGAGGUUGGGAUGAGCUGCAGUAGAAAACAGAGUGUAAUCGAAGGAUGAAAGCUGUAACAGAAAGAUUCAAAGAAGUAAGAGAAAAGGAAUUCUCUGUUUCUGCAGCUCCCACCACUGUUGGCUGCAGUGUGUUUUACAGAAACCAAUCCAAGUGGAACCCAAGCAAAUACCAGUGGCCAGUGAGAGCCCAGUAACAGUCGUAGAGGAAACUGGGGAAACUGGGUAAAGAUGGCUAGCCUGAUCUCAGUGGUGGUGAGAAGGCUAACUUUAAUAGAAAU